rnacentral:rRNA from 2 species
AGUCCUUUGGGAAGGGGGAAAGACGGCCUUGCGGGUUGUAAACCUCUUUUCCCCCAGGGAAGAAGCGUGAGUGACGGUACCUGCAGAAGAAGCGCCGGCUAACUACGUGCCAGCAGCCGCGGUAAUACGUAGGGCGCAAGCGUUGUCCGGAAUUAUUGGGCGUAAAGAGCUCGUAGGCGGCUUGUCACGUCGGAUGUGAAAGCCCGGGGCUUAACUCCGGGUCUGCAUUCGAUACGGGCUAGCUAAAGUGUGGUAGGGGAGAUCGGAAUUCCUGGUGUAGCGGUGAAAUGCCCAAAUAUCAGGAGGAACACCGGGGGCGAAGGCGGAUCUCUGGGCCAUUACUGACGCUGAGGAGCGAAAGCGUGGGGAGCGAACAGGAUUAGAUACCCUGGUAGUCCACCCCGUAAACGUUGGGAACUAGGUGUUGGCGACUUUCCACGUCGUCGGUGCCGCAGCUAACGCAUUAAGUUCCCCGCCUGGGGGAGUACGGCCGCAAGGCUAAAACUCAAAGGAAUUGACGGGGGCCCGCACAAGCAGCGGAGCAUGUGGGCUUAUUUCCACGCAACGCGAAAAACCCUUACCAAGGCUUUGACAUAUACCCGGAAAGCAUCAAAAAUGGUGGCCCCCCUUUGUGGUCGGUAUACGGGUGGCGCAUUGGCUGUCGUCACCUCGUGUCGUGAAAUGUUGGGUUAAGUUCCCGCAACAAACCCAACCCUUUGUUCUAUGUUUCCCACCUUGCCUUUUCCGGGUGAUGGGGGACUCAACGGAAGACUGCCGGGGUCCACCUCGGAAGGAAGGUGGGGACGAACAUCAGGUCAUCAUGCCCCUUAUUGUCUUGGGCCUGCCCACGUGCUACAAUGGCCGUAUCCAAUGUACUGCGAAUCCUUGAGGCGGAGCCAAAUCUCCAAAAAAGCCGGUCUCGAUUCGGUAUUGGGUGUCUGUCAGCUCCGACCCCCCUCCAGAUCGGAAGUUGCUGAUUAUCAACAAAUGAGGCAUUUGCUUGCCGACCGAAACAUAUUCACUGGGGCUUGGUGUGCUGCACACGCGCAUAAUGAUAUUACU